UACAGGGGGGGCAAGCGUUGUUCGGAAUUACUGGGCGUAAAGGGUUCGUAGGUGGCCACUUAAGUCAGACGUGAAAUCCCUCAGCUUAACUGGGGAACUGCGUCUGAUACUGGGUGGCUUGAGUGCAGGAGAGGAAUGCGGAAUUCCAGGUGUAGCGGUGAAAUGCGUAGAUAUCUGGAGGAACACCGGUGGCGAAGGCGGCAUUCUGGACUGUAACUGACACUGAGGAACGAAAGCGUGGGGAGCGAACAGG
rnacentral:rRNA from 1 species